rnacentral:lncRNA from 1 species
UUUUUUGCCUUUAAAAACUUGCUUGUAACAAAGGCUGGGCGGAGCUCACAUUCAACGUUUCUUGGGUCUAAAUCUUCCGGGCAGCUGUCUACACUUUGGCUCAGGUACCAUCUGCUGACUUCCCACAUCAGAAGCAGAAUGAUCUUCAACCCAAGACACAGGCAAAGAGAGCAUCUAACUGCUUAAAAUGAGAGCAGGAAUGGCUGUUGGCUUAGAUAGAUGGCACCCCAGAGUCCUGAAAGAACUUGCAGAUGUGAUCACAGGACCAUCUGAACCGGAGAAACCGGGGGGAAUGGAGAGACAGCAAAAGACCGGAGAUGGGAAUCUACUUACCAAGAUGGCAGGAGCAAGUGGUUAUCAGAGCCUGCUCUCUAGAAAUACAAUUAAACAAGCAGCCCCUGUCUCUUUUUCUCCACUUUCAGUCUUGGGGAAGGGAUUGGAAUAUGUGAGCAGGAGAGAAGGGUCAUGUUGGAGCAGCCAGGACUCAGAGCCUUUCCGCAGACUGAGUCUGGAUCCUUUCCUUCAGCCUCCAGGAAUACUCCCGGCUCCACACCCAGAAUGGUAAUCCAGGCAAGGGCUCUGGUGUGUGGCCACACUGCCACCUAUUACCUGCGGGUCCAAAUGCAGUGACUCAACUUCUCUGUGCCUCUCUUUCCACAUGUAUAAAAUGAGGAUAAUGUUGCUAUUGUAAGAAUUGCAUCAAUUAAUAAACAGCACUCAGUGAA